rnacentral:rRNA from 1 species
UACGUAGGGUGCAAGCGUUGUCCGGAAUUAUUGGGCGUAAAGAGCUCGUAGGCGGUCUGUCGCGUCGGCUGUGAAAACCUGGGGCUCAACCCCGGGCCUGCAGCCGAUACGGGCAGACUAGAAUUCGGCAGGGGAGACUGGAAUUCCUGGUGUAGCGGUGAAAUGCGCAGAUAUCAGGAGGAACACCGAUGGCGAAGGCAGGUCUCUGGGCCGAUACUGACGCUGAGGAGCGAAAGCGUGGGGAGCGAACAGG